CCUACGGGAGGCAGCAGUGAGGAAUAUUGGUCAAUGGACGAGAGUCUGAACCAGCCAAGUAGCGUGAAGGAUGACUGCCCUAUGGGUUGUAAACUUCUUUUAUAUGGGAAUAAAACGUUCCACGUGUGGGAUUUUGUAUGUACCAUAUGAAUAAGGAUCGGCUAACUCCGUGCCAGCAGCCGCGGUAAUACGGAGGAUCCGAGCGUUAUCCGGAUUUAUUGGGUUUAAAGGGAGCGUAGGUGGAUUGUUAAGUCAGUUGUGAAAGUUUGCGGCUCAACCGUAAAAUUGCAGUUGAAACUGGCAGUCUUGAGUACAGUAGAGGUGUGCGGAAUUCGUGGUGUAGCGGUGAAAUGCUUAGAUAUCGCGAAGAACUCCGAUUGCGAAGGCAGUUCACUGGACUGCAACUGACACUGAGGCUCGAAAGUGUGGGUAUCAAACAGGAUUAGAUACCCUGGUAGUC
rnacentral:rRNA from 1 species